rnacentral:rRNA from 1 species
CAGUCGCCGCGGUAAUGCGUAGGUGGCAAGCGUUGUCCGGAAUUAUUGGGCGUAAAGGGCUCGCAGGCGGUUUCUUAAGUCUGAUGUGAAAGCCCCCGGCUCAACCGGGGAGGGUCAUUGGAAACUGGGAAACUUGAGUGCAGAAGAGGAGAGUGGAAUUCCACGUGUAGCGGUGAAAUGCGUAGAGAUGUGGAGGAACACCAGUGGCGAAGGCGACUCUCUGGUCUGUAACUGACGCUGAGGAGCGAAAGCGUGGGGAGCAAACAGGAUUAGAUACCCCAGUAGUCCCUGUCUCUUAUAC